rnacentral:rRNA from 1 species
CCCUUAGAUGUUCUGGGCUGCACGCGCGCUACACUGAAGCUAUCAGCACGUUUUCCCUCCCUGAGAAGGGCGGGUAACCUUUUGAAUCAGCUUCGUGGUAGGGAUCGGGGCUUGCAAUUGUUCCCCGUGAACCAGGAAUUCCUAGUAGACGCGAGUCAUAAGCUCGCAUUGAUUAAGUCCCUGCCCUUUGUACACACCGCCCGUCGCUACUACCGAUUGAACGUUUUAGUGAGGCAUUUGGACCGACGCAUCUCAGUUUAACCGCUGGUUUGUGUUGGAAAGACUUCCAAACUUGAGCGUUUAGAGGAAGUAAAAGUCGUAACA